GAUGAAGAACGUAGCGAAAUGCGAUAAGUAAUGCGAAUUGCAGAAUUCAGUGAAUCAUCGAGUCUUUGAACGCACAUUGCGCCCCCUGGUAUUCCGGGGGGCAUGCCUGUCCGAGCGUCAUUGCUGCCCUCAAGCCCGGCUUGUGUGUUGGGUCUCGUCCCCCUUCCCGGGGGGACGGGCCCGAAAGGCAGCGGCGGCACCGCGUCCGGUCCUCGAGCGUAUGGGGCUUUGUCACCCGCUCUGUAGGCCCGGCCGGCGCUUGCCGAUCAACCAAAACUUUUUUCCAGGUUGACCUCGGAUCAGGUAGGGAUACCCGCUGAACUUAAGCAUAUCAAUAAGCGGAGGA
rnacentral:misc_RNA from 1 species